UUACUCGAUAAUGAUAUGAAC
rnacentral:miRNA from 1 species